GCUCUGUGAUGAACCCAUGCGUGUCAUCUGAGCCUGGCUUGGCUCCCCUGUCUUCUCGGCCCGGGGAGUGUUCUACUUCCCAGGCCUGUCGCCUGGCCUGGCAUGGGGGUCCCAGGCAAAGGAUCAGCUUUUGUAUUCUGAGAGC
rnacentral:snoRNA from 10 species